rnacentral:rRNA from 1 species
AUUGAACGCUGGCGGCAGGCCUAACACAUGCAAGUCGAACGAGUGGCGGACGGGUGAGUAAUGUCUGGGAAACUGCCCGAUGGAGGGGGAUAACUACUGGAAACGGUAGCUAAUACCGCAUACCAUCGGAUGUGCCCAGAUGGGAUUAGCUAGUAGGUUGGGUAACGGCUCACCUAGGCGCAGAUCCCUAGCGGGUCUGAGAGGAUGACCAGCCACACUGGAACUGAGACACGGUCCGGACCCCUACGGGAGGCAGCAGGGGGGAAUAUUGCACAAUGGGCGAAAGCCGGAUGCAGCCAUGCCGGGUGUAUGAAGAAGGCCUUCGGGUUGUAAAGUACUUUCAGCGAGGAGGCGUUACUCGCAGAAGAAGCACCGGCUAACUCCGUGCCAGCAGCGCGGUAAUUC